rnacentral:rRNA from 1 species
UACAGAGGGUGCGAGCGUUAAUCGGAAUUACUGGGCGUAAAGCGCGCGUAGGCGGCUUUGCAAGUCGGGUGUGAAAUCCCCAGGCUUAACCUGGGAACUGCAUUCGAGACUGCAUUGCUAGAGUAUGGGAGAGGGAAGUGGAAUUUCAGGUGUAGCGGUGAAAUGCGUAGAUAUCAGGAAGAACAUCGGUGGCGAAGGCGCUCUGCUGGACCAUAACUGACACUCAGGGACGAAAGCUAGGGGAGCGAAUGGG